rnacentral:rRNA from 1 species
GCAGCCUGCAACUCGGCUGCAUGAAGCUGGAAUCGCUAGUAAUCGCGGAUCAGAAUGCCGCGGUGAAUACGUUCCCGGGUCUUGUACACACCGCCCGUCACACCAUGGGGGUCGGGAAUGCCCGAAGUCAGUGACCCAACCGAAAGGGGGGAGCUGCCGAAGGCAGGCCUGGUAACUGGGGUGAAGUCGUAACAAGGUAUC